rnacentral:rRNA from 1 species
GCGCGAGAAGCCGCAAGGCAAGUACAGCGGCGUAAGGGUGAGUAAUGGUUAGUCAACGUACCGAGCAGACGCGAAUAAUUUUCCGAAAGGGAUUGUAAUGCGCGAUGAGACCACGGGCUGUACGCAGCUAGGGGUCAAAGGUCGGGGAUCCUUCGGGACCCGGCGCUGUUUGAGCGGACUAUCUCUGAUUAGCUAGUUGGCGGGGUAACGGCCCACCAAGGCGAUGAUCAGUAGCCGGGCUGAGAGGCUGUCCGG